AAAAAUACGAUGCAUGGCCAAAAUGAUCAUUUUCAUUCAACCUAGAAAAGUUUCAACAAUAUCUGCUUAGCCUAUGAUCUGAUUGGAUAUUUUACAAGCAUGCAAUUUAUACAAUCUCUCGCGGGAUAACGAAAAUACUUUAUUAUAACAAUACUAUAACAUAUGAAUAUAUAACAAGUGGAGAUACUUUCAAAUAUCCAGUGUAUUAUUAUUCUUCAGUAUAAAUUCAGUAUUGAAAAAUGACUUUCAAGCAUUCUGAUUGGCUCCCUCAACAGUAUCUCUGACACAAUAGUUACUACUCAAACUGCUCUGACCAGUAACUAUUGCUUUCAAAACAAAAUGGCUGCCGAAAAUCCACUUGCAAACAAAUCAUCGAAGAAAAAAUUGAAGAAAUUAAAGCACAUACUAUACCUCUAAAAGCAAAAGAAGCAACAAUAUAUGGUCUUAACCUAUUUCCGAAAGACAAAAGCACCUUCAAUUUAAAACGGGAAAAUAACAGAAUCGGGCGGCAAGUUUCCGACAGCUGGAUCCGUUUGACUCAAAAGCGGAAGAGUGAAGUAAAUUAUAUUUGCAACGUAACGUUUGUAUAUAUUAUUCUUUUUUAACGCUGAAUUUAUACUGAAACAAUUUGUCACCUAAGGUCGGCGAUCACAAGAUUAUAUUCACUUCGCUGCUUCGCUGCUCAGUGAAUGUAGGUUUGUAAUGCCUAGGCCUACGGUAGUCGGCUAAUUGUUAAAUAAUAACUCUUUCUGUUUCUCAUAAACCAUGUAAUUUAUCAAGACAAUUGUUCAAAGAAAGUAAAUAUGAUAAUGUUUACAGAAAGUAAAUAUAUGACUAUUCAUAAAAAAAUUA
rnacentral:lncRNA from 1 species